UACAGAGGUCUCAAGCGUUGUUCGGAUUCAUUGGGCGUAAAGGGCGCGUAGGUGGCCCGGUCAGUCCGUGGUGAAAGCGCGGGGCUCAACCCCGCGUCGGCCAUGGAUACUGCUGGGCUGGAGCACUGUAGAGGCAGGCGGAAUUCCGGGUGUAGCGGUGGAAUGCGUAGAGAUCCGGAAGAACACCGGUGGCGAAGGCGGCCUGCUGGGCAGUUGCUGACACUGAGGCGCGACAGCGUGGGGAGCAAACAGG
rnacentral:rRNA from 1 species